rnacentral:rRNA from 1 species
AUGCAGAUGAAGACAGCAUAUAUAUGUGCAAGCAAGCUUUGUGGGUUUACCCUUGAAGAAGAUUUGCGUGGCACACUCUGCUUCAGUUUUGAUUCUGGUUCUGGGGCUUAUGACCACCACUUCGCCAUCAAGAUGAAUGACUUGUGUAUUUAUACUCCCGGUUAUCUUUCUUGUCGUGCCAAAGUUAACGAGGCCAAAUUUCUAAUAAGGAGUCUCAUCUUUUUUUUUCCUGUAUUCCCUCCUGUAUUGUUUUCAAACCUAAACAAAGUUUUGUUUUUGCAAAAAGGAUCCAAUCUAUUAUAUAGAUUCACCGGAAGUACAAGCACCUCAAACAUAAUAAAAAUUACGUCGGGGUCCAUGGACCACCGAACGAUCAUUGCCGCCGCCAGAACGAGUCGCUGA